GCGAAGCGAAGACGCCGCAGUAACACAGAAAACGGAGACACACAGGAAACAGAUUAGAUUUACGGAUUUUUAAGGCUUCAGAUAUGAUUUGAUUUGAUUCUGUUAUGAUUGGUUAUGUUUGAAACAGGAGGACUCGAGGCAUGACUGCACAGCCUCAAACUGGCCACUCACUGCCUCAGGCUGUCUUUCAUUCCCCCAUCGGCUGAUUUUACUUCUGGCCCCUCAGAUUUCAAUAGAGACUCGUGUGUGUGUGUGUGUGUGUGUGUGUGUGUGUGUGUGUGUGUGUGUUCCAGGUAAUCUCAGAGCAGAGCGAAGGCAGGGAGGAGCCCUGUCAUUAGCUGACACAAUGCCAUUGUCCCCUUAAUGAAUCUAUUGUAUAAGGAGAUCCCAGUGUUUGGGAUUACCCUGCCAGAGCAAACAGUGUGUGUGUGUGUGUGUCAUAGAAUGACUGUGGAAGUGGUCGGGUGGGGCACAAACAAUAUGUAAUUGCUGAAUAUAAAACUUCAUUUUUCUUUUUUUUAAUGCAGAUGGUUGAUGGACACAAGUGUCCAUUCACACAGCAGAGACACAGCAAAUAAAACUAUACUGUAUUACUCAGUAUAUAAACAAUAUGUCGACUUGUUUGGUCACAGAGAAACAAAAACAGGAUAAGUGGUAGGAAAUUAAUUAUUUGAGUACAAUUCUGAUAUAUGCUAUUUUUGAAAGCUGUAUAAAUGGUAAAAUAGUUUAAGAUUUUAAAAAUAUGAGGCUGUAAACAGAUUUAAAGCUUCUUUCUUUUAGGUUAUGACCCCCUGGAAAUGAGUUUUAAUGUGUAUUGCAUUAAUGUAUUUAAUACCAUGAAGUCUAAGUAAAGGAGAAUGAUGACAGGUAAUCUAACCCUAUACUAAGUCCUGAGUGUCAGAGAGUCAAACAUAUGAAUCCAACUGACAUGCAUCAAAAAUGAUUUCCUUUUAUUUCCACCUUUUUUCCUUUUUCUUAGCUCUCACAGAGUUACUGAGUUACAAAGACUGUAAAACAUGUUCACAGUAACCUCACCAUAAUUUGCUUUUACAACAAAAAAAUUGAGUAUAAUUUAAUUUACAUUGUUACAUCGUAUCGUAUACUUAUAGUCGCAGGAUUAAGGAGUGUUGCUUUAUUUAAAAUGUGCAUAUUUACCCACAAAAAACUGCAGUGCUGUGCACAGUCAAAAUCUGUAAAAACGCAGUUCAGUGCACCAGUUUGAAGCAUUUUUAUUUAUCCAUGCUACUUUUUUACUGUUAAUUUUCCUGUAUUUUUUUUAAACCUCUCAUUGAGUUAUACCAUUUACCAUUUUUGGAAAUUUCCAUAAAAACUGGUAAUAAACUGGCAGAAAGUGACUCUGUGCUGAGUGUUGCUCAUAUAUAAAGAAAAUCCCAGCAGACCUGUGAUUCUGUUUAAUCAGCAUUACUGAUGCAGCUUAAAGUAUAAAACUCUUUUAUUUUACUCAAAGAGAAGUUUAAAUGAAUGUAUAUCUAUAUGUUAUUAUAUCAUAUUAGUGGUAUUAGUAUUUAAGUAAGCGUAUAAAAAGUGAAAUUCUUCUGCUGCCUUUGUUUUCUCCUUUGCAUUUCAGGGGGAAACAAACGACGUUUUAUCCCCUUCGAACCCGAGCAGUUGUCUACGUCUGCACCUGAGGUUUGUUGGAGCUUGAGAAAGGGCUGGGGAGACGUUUCCAAACUGGUCUGAUGGAAGUGUUUGCAUGACAACGUGCCAGCCUUUUGCUUAUGAAUGCUUUCGGGCGCCUUUAUAUGGAAAUCCAAAAAUUACGUUUCAGAUUCAGUUAAACCGUCAGCAGUGUGUGUGCUUGCAUGUGUGUUCCUGUUUGUGCGUCUGAGGAUGCAUGUGUUUGCGUGCCCUGCUGGUGAUUACUAUCCUCCCUUGUCCAAUUUGUUUUACAGAGCACCUGGGCCUUGGCUGAGCUCUCUCUGUGUACGUGUGUGUGUAAAUGGGACUGCUAGAUAAAUACAGGUGGGGUCCCUUUCUUCUAACAACACACAGACUGAGCGAAAGAGCAACAGAGAGACAAAAGGGAAGGAAAUAAAAAUGUUCUAUUCAGCUCUGUUGCCUACCUCCUUCCAGCUCUAUUGCUGUAUUUUAAGAUGCAUGUGAUUAGAGGAGAAAUAGAUUAAACAGCACCACAGAGGUGCAAAAUUACAGCGAAGCCUGUUACAUUACACAAGAGCAGCUUUUACCUAAAUGCACCCAAGUCUGUGUUGACUCAUAAUCCAUGCACGACUCAUUAACGCUGCACAGAAAACAGAGUGAGAUCAAAAUAAUGGUUGUACAUGAGCUUUUCUCUUAUCUUUACCUUCCCCUACAUGACUCUCGCCUGCUGGAAUCUCAGCCAUGGGGCGAGAUGACAGCAGAAAUCGUGCGAGGGCUAACGUACAAGCUGCCACAAGCAGGCGAGAGCAAGACUGGAAAGUCAGGGGCCACGAGCCACCACAUACUUUUCGUGUGUGUUUGUGUGUGUGUGUGUGUGUGUGUGUGUGUGUGUCCAACUGUGAGGUGAAAGGUGUAUCCUGCAUUCCAGGCGUUUUUUCGCAGGAGUAGCAGCUUGCCUGGACUUGGCCGGGAUUUUGUGUCUGAGUCUACCUGUUUGAGUUGAGAAGCCCACAGCUGAGAAGGAGACAGAGGUGUGGGUAUGUGUGCAUGUAGGAGGGGGGAUGUUGACAUUCAGAUGGAGGUUAGAUCAAGAGGAGGUGGAGGGAGGGGAUGGAUGAAUGACAUGAGGGGUUACAAACACAUGCUUGAACAUGAAUGAAGUCAAACAUAGAGGAUAAGGUUGACUGCAGCAUGGGUACUCGAAUAAUAUUAGCUUUGGUGUCAGAAUUAAUACCGAUGACAACCAUUAAGCUUCUUCUGGUUAUCCAGUUCAAGGUUUGGAGGGGAUCAUAGGCCUAAAGGGUACACACUGGACACGGUGCCACCCAAAAUUGAAUAAGCAGUUAAGAAAAUGGAUGGAUUGACUUUGUCAGUGUAACGAGCCAAUAUUGGCUCAAUGCAUAUUUAUUAUUGGUAUGAACUAUUAGAAAUGUGAUGAAAUGAUUAUCAGGUGUUGUGUUUGGUUUGGUUUUUUUGCAAAUCCUACUACAGAAAAGUUGGGGUUCAUGGGGCUGGAGGCUAUCCAGGUGUCUCUGUGCUGCUGAUGCAGCUGGCAACCUCUGCAGCUUGCCUAAUGACAUACAAACUACUGCUUUAAGUUGCUCCCAUAUUCACCAAGGGUCACCAGAGCAGCUGCCUUCCAGUGCUGCUGACUCCGUUCACCGACAGUCACAGUUGAAAUAUCAGAGAGCUGCUGCUGGUGAGCUGUCACCACCUUCACAAUCAGCCUCUGUUUGACCAGCUCAUGUCUGCCUGACCCAAGACCUCACCUCUCCUUCAGCUGCACUCUGUGCGAGGAUGUAGGCGUGUGUGACUGUGCGGAGGUGAAUUACGCCCUUAGUAAUGGACCUUAUUAUGGAGUGUUACCUGACCUGACAUAUAAAACAGCACCAUCAGCACCACCAGCUGAAAACCUGGCAUAUCUCUGCAUGGUGUGGAGUGUGGCCUCAAAAAAUUUGAGGAACCCGGAUAAGUGGAGGACAAAGAAGCAGUGGCAGACCUAAAAAAUCUACAGGAGGUGAGCAGUAUCUGAAAGUCGUGUUCUUAAGAAACAGGAAAAAAAAAUCCAGCAAAGACCUGAAACAGGACCUGAGAGAUAGAUCUGGACCUUCAGUUGAUCCAUCUACUGUUCACUGAAACCUCAUCAGAAAUGGUCUCAGUGGAAGGAAGUAUGGCUGAAAAUCAGUGGCAACAGAGUUAUGGACUGCUCAACCUAAGUUUGAAAUGUUUGAUUGAAAUCAUUGUGAGUGUACAUAGAGGAGGUCUAGAUGAGAGUCCUUCAAGAAGUCCGGAGAACUAUUCCUCAAGAAAUUGCAAGAAAGUUUGGCUAAGAGAGUUCAGGCUGUGUUGAAGAACAAAGAUGUUCAUACUUUGGUAUGAACCUACUGAUGUUGUACAAACUCUGUUUCUGCCUUUUAUCUUGUAUUUCCAUGUGUGUUUACAGAUGUUUCAAUAAAUUGCUGCGUCUGCUUCCUAUUUUCAUAACACAAGAUACAGAAAUGAGGGGUGGCUCGAGACUUUUGCACAUUACUGUGCACACAGCUUUUCAAGGUUGAUGAUUUAGCGUUGAAAAUGCAGAAGUUGAUAAUUAUUCUUCAUUUGUUCACAACAAAUUAAAUAUUGUAAAUAAAGAUUUUCUAUUUGAAUAUUUCAUUCAUCAAGAUUUUAUUCUAUUUGAGCAGUGUAUACAAUAGUAAGAUUAGCAUGUGUCAGUACAGAGGAAUAAUGUCCAAUUUUGACAUUAUGAUCAUUAUUGAUUGAUUGAUUAAUAA